UACGGGGGGGCAAGGCGUUGUUCGGAAUUACUGGGCGUAAAAGGGCUCGUAGGCGGCCAACUAAGUCAGACGUGAAAUCCCUCGGCUUAACCGGGGAACUGCGUCUGAUACUGGAUGGCUUGAGUUCGGGAGAGGGAUGCGGAAUUCCAGGUGUAGCGGUGAAAUGCGUAGAUAUCUGGAGGAACACCGGUGGCGAAGGCGGCAUCCUGGACCGACACUGACGCUGAGGAGCGAAAGCCAGGGGAGCAAACGGGG
rnacentral:rRNA from 1 species